UACAGAGGGGGCAAGCGUUGUUCGGAAUUACUGGGCGUAAAGGGCGCGUAGGCGGCCCGCUAAGUCGAACGUGAAAUCCCCGAGCUCAACUCGGGAACUGCGUCCGAUACUGGCGGGCUUGAAUCCGGGAGAGGGAUGCGGAAUUCCAGGUGUAGCGGUGAAAUGCGUAGAUAUCGGGAGGAACACCAGUGGCGAAGGCGGCUUUCUGGCCUGUUCUUGACGCUGAGGCGCGAAAGCUAGGGGAGCAAACGGG
rnacentral:rRNA from 1 species